rnacentral:rRNA from 1 species
GAUGAACGCUGGCGGCGUGCCUAACACAUGCAAGUCGAGCGGGAUCUUAAGUAAUGAAGCUUCGGUAGAUUUAGUUAAGUGAGAGCGGCGGACGGGUGAGUAACGCGUAGGCAACCUGCCCUUUGCAGAGGGAUAGCCAUUGGAAACGAUGAUUAAAACCUCAUAAUGCCAAGAGUUCACAUGGACAUUUGGCCAAAGAUUUAUCGGCAAAGGAUGGGCCUGCGUCUGAUUAGCUAGUUGGUGGGGUAACGGCCUACCAAGGCGACGAUCAGUAGCCGACCUGAGAGGGUGAUCGGCCACAUUGGAACUGAGACACGGUCCAAACUCCUACGGGAGGCAGCAGUGGGGAAUAUUGCACAAUGGGCGAAAGCCUGAUGCAGCAACGCCGCGUGAAGGAAGAAGGUCUUCGGAUCGUAAACUUCUAGUCCUUAGGGAAGAUAAAUGACGGUACCUUUGGAGGAAGCCCCGGCUAACUACGUGCCAGCAGCCGCGGU